UGGGGAAUAUUGGACAAUGGGCGAAAGCCUGAUCCAGCCAUGCCGCGUGUGUGAAGAAGGCCUUUUGGUUGUAAAGCACUUUAAGUGGGGAGGAAAAGCUUAUGGUUAAUACCCAUAAGCCCUGACGUUACCCACAGAAUAAGCACCGGCUAACUCUGUGCCAGCAGCCGCGGUAAUACAGAGGGUGCAAGCGUUAAUCGGAAUUACUGGGCGUAAAGCGCGCGUAGGUGGUUAUUUAAGUCAGAUGUGAAAGCCCCGGGCUUAACCUGGGAACUGCAUCUGAUACUGGAUAACUAGAGUAGGUGAGAGGGGAGUAGAAUUCCAGGUGUAGCGGUGAAAUGCGUAGAGAUCUGGAGGAAUACCGAUGGCGAAGGCGACUUUCUGGUCUGUAACUGACGCUGAUGUGCGAAAGCGUGGGGAUCAAACAGGAUUAGAUACCCUGGUAGUCCACGCCGUAAACGAUGAGUGCUAAGUGUUAGGGGGUUUCCGCCCCUUAGUGCUGCAGCUAACGCAUUAAGCACUCCGCCUGGGGAGUACGACCGCAAGGUUG
rnacentral:rRNA from 1 species